UUAAUUUUUUUCCAAAAAUAAAAAUAAAAACCACAAAUUAAAGACUACAACAACAUUUUAAUCCCUUCCUAAUUUCCUUUUCUCUCUUGAAUACAAUACAAAAAAGAAUUAUCGAUUUAACAAAUUUUUGCAUGUUUAUGUUCAUUACUGAACACCUCGAGAAGAAAAGAAAAAUGAAAGAAAAAAAUAAUCUAAGCCCAGAUUGCAAGCGAGGCCAUCAAUCCAGCUCCAAGAAAGAGCAUGAA
rnacentral:misc_RNA from 1 species